rnacentral:rRNA from 1 species
CAGGCUUAACACAUGCAAGUCGAGGGGCAGCAUGGUCUUAGCUUGCUAAGGCCGAUGGCGACCGGCGCACGGGUGAGUAACACGUAUCCAACCUGCCGUCUACUCUUGGACAGCCUUCUGAAAGGAAGAUUAAUACAAGAUGGCAUCAUGAGUCCGCAUGUUCACAUGAUUAAAGGUAUUCCGGUAGACGAUGGGGAUGCGUUCCAUUAGAUAGUAGGCGGGGUAACGGCCCACCUAGUCUUCGAUGGAUAGGGGUUCUGAGAGGAAGGUCCCCCACAUUGGAACUGAGACACGGUCCAAACUCCUACGGGAGGCAGCAGUGAGGAAUAUUGGUCAAUGGGCGAGAGCCUGAACCAGCCAAGUAGCGUGAAGGAUGACUGCCCUAUGGGUUGUAAACUUCUUUUAUAAAGGAAUAAAGUCGGGUAUGCAUACCCGUUUGCAUGUACUUUAUGAAUAAGGAUCGGCUAACUCCGUGCCAGCAGCCGCGGUAAUACGGAGGAUCCGAGCGUUAUCCGGAUUUAUUGGGUUUAAAGGGAGCGUAGAUGGAUGUUUAAGUCAGUUGUGAAAGUUUGCGGCUCAACCGUAAAAUUGCAGUUGAUACUGGAUAUCUUGAGUGCAGUUGAGGCAGGCGGAAUUCGUGGUGUAGCGGUGAAAUGCUUAGAUAUCACGAAGAACUCCGAUUGCGAAGGCAGCCUGCUAAGCUGCAACUGACAUUGAGGCUCGAAAGUGUGGGUAUCAAACAGGAUUAGAUACCCUGGUAGUCCACACGGUAAACGAUGAAUACUCGCUGUUUGCGAUAUACAGCAAGCGGCCAAGCGAAAGCGUUAAGUAUUCCACCUGGGGAGUACGCCGGCAACGGUGAAACUCAAAGGAAUUGACGGGGGCCCGCACAAGCGGAGGAACAUGUGGUUUAAUUCGAUGAUACGCGAGGAACCUUACCCGGGCUUAAAUUGCAGAUGAAUUACGGUGAAAGCCGUAAGCCGCAAGGCAUCUGUGAAGGUGCUGCAUGGUUGUCGUCAGCUCGUGCCGUGAGGUGUCGGCUUAAGUGCCAUAACGAGCGCAACCCUUGUUGUCAGUUACUAACAGGUUCUGCUGAGGACUCUGACAAGACUGCCAUCGUAAGAUGUGAGGAAGGUGGGGAUGACGUCAAAUCAGCACGGCCCUUACGUCCGGGGCUACACACGUGUUACAAUGGGGGGUACAGAGGGCCGCUACCACGCGAGUGGAUGCCAAUCCCAAAAACCUCUCUCAGUUCGGACUGGAGUCUGCAACCCGACUCCACGAAGCUGGAUUCGCUAGUAAUCGCGCAUCAGCCACGGCGCGGUGAAUACGUUCCCGGGCCUUGUACACACCGCCCGUCAAGCCAUGGGAGCCGGGGGUACCUGAAGUGCGUAACCGCGAGGAGCGCCCUAGGGUAAAACUGGUGACUGGGGCUAA